rnacentral:misc_RNA from 1 species
UUGCUAGUGUCCAUUUCAUGG